UGCAGUCGAGCGAGAAGCUACCUUCGGGUAGUGGACAGCGGCGCACGGGUGAGUAACGCGUACACAAUCUACCUUAUAGAGGAGAAUAGCCCUGGGAAACUGGGAUUAAUGCUCCAUAGUAUUAGACUUUGGCAUCAAGGUUUAAUUAAAGCUCCGGCGCUAUGAGAUGAGUGUGCGUACUAUUAGCUAGUUGGUAAGGUAACGGCUUACCAAGGCAACGAUAGUUAGGGGGCGUGAGAGCGUGACCCCCCACACGGGUACUGAGACACGGACCCGACUCCUACGGGAGGCAGCAGUAAGGAAUAUUGGACAAUGGGCGCAAGCCUGAUCCAGCCAUCCCGCGUGGAGGAUGACUGCCCUAUGGGUUGUAAACUCCUUUUAUUUGAGAAGAAACGCCUGGAUUUAUCCGGGCCUGACGGUAUCUUAUGAAUAAGCACCGGCUAACUCCGUGCCAGCAGCCGCGGUAAUACGGAGGGUGCAAGCGUUAUCCGGAAUCACUGGGUUUAAAGGGUGCGUAGGUGGUUUAGUAAGUCAGAUGUGAAAGCCCGGCGCUCAACGUCGGAAUUGCAUUUGAUACUGCUGAACUUGAAUCAGGUUGAGGUGGGCGGAAUGUGGCAUGUAGCGG
rnacentral:rRNA from 1 species